rnacentral:rRNA from 1 species
UACGUAGGGUCCGAGCGUUGUCCGGAAUUACUGGGCGUAAAGAGCUCGUAGGUGGUUUGUCGCGUUGUUCGUGAAAACUCACAGCUUAACUGUGGGCGUGCGGGCGAUACGGGCAGACUUGAGUACUGCAGGGGAGACUGGAAUUCCUGGUGUAGCGGUGAAAUGCGCAGAUAUCAGGAGGAACACCAGUGGCGAAGGCGGUGGUCUGGGCCGGUACUGACGCUGAGGCGCGACAGCGUGGGGAGCAAACAGG